CAUUAAUAACUUUUGUGAUUGAUUUGUGGACAAGAACAGUUUUAGAGAAACAAUGAGUGGGGGUCUGAACGGAGUAAGAAAACAUUCCCUGGGGGUUCUUUUGGUGAGCCAUUUCUAACCUACUGCUGACUUCCGGUGGAAAGUCCUUCCAGCCUUCGUAUCUGUCGUGGACCUGCCAUAGUACGGUUUCUACAGAAAGAGGUAGGUUAAACACUGUAUAUGAUUUAAUCAUCUAUUUCGAAAAAAUGACUUACAUAUACAUGUAUACGGUAAACGAUAUAAAUUUAAACGCGUUCAGCUUUGUAUAAGAGUGUGUGUAAAGUUUUGUUGUCAACACAGUUUCAGGUUACUAGUCUAACAAAAACCCCGAGGCAUAUUGAUUUAAAAAAUUAAACAAGAGGCUCUAGAGAAAAUGUGGGGAAAAAUACAGAUAGACAGAUGCUAAACAACAAGCGAUCAGAAAAGCUUAUUUGAGCUUUCAUCUCAGUCCUCACAGUCUGUUACCAGUUCUGGGGUCACCACGCCAUCAGUGAACACGAUGAUUCGGGGUCCGAAACCAGUUCCAUUGACAUGAGGAAUUGUCACUACAGAAAAGUCACAGUACAGUUAAUGACGCCAUUUACUGAAUAUACAGCAUACUACAUCUAUAUAUUCGCCACUCACCUCCGCCACUGACCAGUGCUAAGGCAAGCAUCAGUCCAGCAGUCAAGGGACUCGGACCACCUGGACUAAGUUUUUCUGAAUGAAACCGUUACAGAUAUUCAGUAUCAGAAGCAUAACGCAAAUGACAUAGGGAAUGAACAUGAAAUACUUUCAUUUUUCCAAGGCAACAUCUUGAGUGGUGCUUCAACCCUUUGGGCUGAUGGCCUUUUUUAUGCACCACUUUUGUUUCCAAUAAAGAUUGAUAUGUAUUCUAUAGCAUUAUCACAUCUGUGUUUUGUAAAAAUAUUGUGACUGGGAGACCACUGUUGUGUAAUAAUUUAUUGACCUGCAUUUCUAGUCAAGAAACAGUUUAUAUGUCAACAAUAUCUUUGAUGCUGGUUUGUCUCCCAGCCAAUUCUUUUAUUAUUUUAUGAUUUACAUUUUCUCGUCAUUUAAAUAAAUGACAACUUUUACACUUCAACAUGUUUUCUGUUAUGAUAUUUGGAAACAAACAAAGCUGUUAUGUUGCCUUGGAUAAUCAGUGAGGUUUUAACAUAAAAUAAGGUUUAUUUUCAUAUAAAACAAUUUAUGUUAAAAUUAUACAAUUUUUUCCUUUUUUGAUGUUGGAAUGUUUUGUAUUCUUUAAGUCAUUUACAAAACAUGAAUUAUUAAACUUGGAAUAAAGAGUCCCCCCAAUUUUCGCUCUGUGAUCCGUUUUUAUCUGUUCCAUAACUUUUAUCAAAGCCCUUAUCUGUCUUAGCCAAUCAGAUUGCCGCGCAAGGUAUCUUAUUUACAUAAUCCUUUGUUUACUCGGAGUGCUGCCACGAAAGUUUUUACUGAAGAAAAAGCAACCACCACCUCCACUCCAUCCACCACAAAUUAGAUAUUUUGUAAUUUUUCUCAACUUUUUUACGCACCUUUUGCCUUUUUUAUGCACCACUUUUGUUUCCAAUAAAGAUUGAUAUGUAUUCUAUAGCAUUAUCACAUCUGUGUUUUGUAAAAAUAUUGUGACUGGGAGACCACUGUUGUGUAAUAAUUUAUUGACCUGCAUUUCUAGUCAAGAAACAGUUUAUAUGUCAACAAUAUCUUUGAUGCUGGUUUGUCUCCCAGCCAAUUCUUUUAUUAUUUUAUGAUUUACAUUUUCUCGUCAUUUAAAUAAAUGACAACUUUUACACUUCAA